UCUUCUCUUCUCUUCAUCUUUCUCCUCUUCUUUCUUUUUCUUCUCUCUUAUUUCUCCUUUUUUUCUUCUUUUCUUCUCCUUCUCUCUUUCUCUCUCGUUCGAACAAGAGAUCGGCUAAGUCUAGCACUGCCAUGGUGGUCUCGUCGUCAAGCAAUAUUGCAAUCGUUCCGAUUUGAAUUAACUUGCCCGUCUUGCUUCCACGAGAGGCCAUCAUGCCAAGUUGAUCGAUGUUGGUUUUGUCAUCGAGUAGUAUUGCCGCUGUGUCGAUCUGAAUUACCAUGCCCAUCUUGCUACCACGCCAGAAACAGGAGAGUACUGAUCAAGGGAGGUGAUUUCGAACCAGUUAAAGGACUGGGAGGCUUUCCGUCAUGAUUUAAGAGGGCGCCCACACGAGUCAGCCCAAGUGAGUCACGGACCUAAGUGAGAUGUGUCCCGCCUCACAUCAAAUUUAUCUCUCAUCAAUUGGGGUAUCUGCCCUUUCUCUUUAGCAAGGUUCCCAAGAAAGUGGUCUCAAGCCCCGGGUUUGCAUUGAAACCCGAGACACAUGCCACCAGGCCAACUCGACCCAAAGGGCGAGAUCGAGGCAUCUAACCAAUAACCUCCCACCCAAAUUUAUAGAAUUCAAUAGAGAAACCAUCAGGGCCUAGAGCAUUGUCGCACUUCAUACCCGAAACACAAUCCUUUAUCUCUUCUAGAGUGACCUCUUCAACCAAUUUCUCCUUCUAAUAAAACUAAGCAAACUGCUCAGCCAGAUGAAGAUCGAUAUCACUUUCUUAGACUAGGAGAUCUUCAAAAAAUCCAAUCAUAUAAUUAUCUAUAUCUACUUUUGUAACUAGAUAAUUACCAUUUUAAUCCUUAAGUGAUAAUAUGAUCGCCUUUUCUCCUCAUCACAGUAGAUAAAUGAAAGAACUUAGUAUUAAAAUCCCCUUCCUUUAACCACUUCUGCCUCAACUUUUGCCUCCUAUGCUCUCUUCAUGUCCCAAGAGGAUCUGUAAUUUCUGAGUAUGAUCAUUCUCUUUUAUCAUCAAAGCAUUAUUAGAGGGAUCAUGGAAAAAGCUAUCAUAUAGAGAAGACAAUUGUUGUCGAACUAUUGUAAUAGAAUCACCCAUAUGUCCAAACACAUUUGUGUUCCAUGCGUGUAGGCCCCCCUUCAAUCUUUUUAACUUUGUAACAAGACGAAACAUAGGAGUACCCCCAACUCACCCUUGCUAAGAAGCUGAAAUUAUAUCAAGAAAGCAAUGAACAUUUUCUCAAGUUAAUAAUUACUUAAAGGGUUUUGGCCCGACCGAACCCAAAUCUAACAUUGACACUAGCAAAGGGCAAUGAUCAGAGUUCCCAUUAGGAAGAAGCUUAACUUUGGAUUCUGUAAAGCCCAAUACCCAAUCUGUGGUUGCCAUGGCACAGUCCAAUCUCCUUAUACACCUCUUCUUAAGUUGGCUAUUAGAUCAAGGACAUCAUCAUUUGACAACAUUAAGGUCAGUUAGUGCGCAAUCAAACGUAACUUGCGCAAAGUCACCUGAGUCCGAGGGUAAGGAACCACUGCCCCCCGUCCUCUCUGAACUAACUAAUAAAGUAUUGAAAUCCCCUAGUACUAACCAAGGUAUUGUUGUGGCAUCCCUUAUACAUCUCAUAUGAUCCCAACGUAAAGCCCUCUGAGAUACAGAAUUGAAAGUAUAUACCCCAGAUACCACAAACAAUUUACCAUUACAUAAACGAGAAGCCUCAACAGUAAUCAUCUGAUCAUUAAUAUAAAUCACACUGAUUGAAUAUAUUGAAGGAUUCCAAAGUAGUAUGAUUGAUUAUAGAUCUAACAUUGACAUCAUUAGGUAUAAAAUUAUUGUAAAACCCCAUUUUUGUGAUUAAACACUAGUCAAAUCGGCUAGCAAUUUAAUCUCUAAAAUAAACAAUAUCUCCACAUUAUUUUGGUUUUUUAGAACACCAACAUCUGCUACUUACCACGGCCCCUAAGGCCUCGGACAUUCCAUGCCACCACCGACAUAUAUAAAAUUAGGAAUUUAAAGGCUUGCUAGAAGUAGAAUUUAAAGGUUUUUUCAUUUUGCCCUAAGCUUCUCAAUCAAUUGCCUAAGUAGGAAAAUAGCAUCAGUUGUUGACCUUCCUAGUAUAAAACCAAAUUGAUUUUCAGAUAUAUUUGUUUCAUGCUCUGGUCGUUGCCCAAUUACUCUCUCCCAAAGCUUCACGGUAUGGCUCACAAGAUAGUUCGCACAAUUAUGUAUGUCUCCUUUGUUCUUGUAAAUAGAUAUCACAAUACUUUU